rnacentral:lncRNA from 10 species
GGAGGACCCACGAGGACUCACCCGGAUGGGAGGGACGGCCGGGAGGUGGAAAAACACAACCGUGAGCGGUGACUCAGGCGGUUUGCCCCGCCUCGCACAUAAAUGCAGGGUACCUUUCCUUCCCGUUAUUGCCCUUGGGUGUCUGGCUGCUUAGGAUGCCCAUUUGCCAGAUGGGGAGAGUGAGGCCUGUAGAAGGUGCCCUACUUUGCCGUACUCAAACCCACCAUUAGUGGUUAAAUCCAGGGACCGCCUCAAGGUUUUCUGAUGAGCCUAGUGGGGCCUAAGUGCCCUUAAAUGGGCCUUGUAAUAAUAAACGAGGUCCUACAGG